rnacentral:lncRNA from 1 species
CUUAUGUUAGUUGCACAAUCGCAGUCGCACAUACAUGUGACAUUACACGUCGUAACUUUCAAAAGUUCCUCCAAAACAAAUUAAAAAGUUAAACAACGGAGAUCGGAUAAUGAGUUAACUGUUUUUAAUUUCAGGUGAAGGGCUGAAGGCCAACUAGGUGCUUGCUCGAAUGCUAGAAAUAAAAUUGUCUAAUCCAAUAAUGCAAGCUCGCAAGCUAUGUCUUCUGAAGGUUUAUAAUUUUCACAUGAACUUUUCCCUGUCAAGAUUUUGUAAAUCUUCAAGAUAUUGACGCCUUUGCCAGAAUGCCAGAUCCAAUACUUUGCUGCUAUCUAUUUUGCGGCAAAACAGCAAGAAAAUACUGCCUCUCAAGAUUUUGUGGUGAUCAUAAUUUAGGAGGACAAUGUAAGAUUGAUAGCUUUGAGGUUAAUCCCUCUCCUCUAUUUUGGAAGCCGACAAGAGAUUACUGGAAUUGAAGACUGAUAAUUUGUGUAGACAUACUAUAGAUAAAUUACAAGUGCAUAUCUGUGCUCCCUUCUUUUGUGUGGUCCCAUUUCCCUAUAACUAACCAAUAAGCAAUAAGAAUAACCAACGCCCGCCGGUGGUCACUCACUCGCUGUGAUAACCAGGAUGAAGAGGGCUCUGAUCGAACGGCGACUACUUGGAAAGCUCAUAACCUGAUGAGUGUAACUGACUAAUCACUCCCUAGAAAGCCUGGACUCACACUCUUCUCUCUUCUUCACUGGUCAAAUAAUCUCCUUGGUCGGAGUCAAACAAAGCUCUCCCCGAAUGAUUGCAAUUGCAAGAGUAACUUAAGUUACGGCCGGUCUGUAAUCGCUGUAAAUUUGAUUUUGUACCUACUAACCUUUCAAUUAAAAUUUGAUGAUGGUUUUAAAUCGAAAAUGUCUGAAUGUAAUAUAUUUCAUGUGUAAUAUAAUCAUUUCCCAUUCCAA